GUCGAACGAGAACCCCGCAAGGGGGGAAAGUGGCAAACGGCGUAGUAAGGCGUAGGUGACGUGCCCCGGGGUCCAGGAUAGCCAUGGGAAACCGUGGGUAAUACUGGAUGAUCCCGUUGGAUCGAGAGGUCUGACGGGCAAAGGUGUGAUUCCGUCCUGGGAGCGGCCUGCGUGGUAUUAGCUUGUUGGUGAGGUAACGGCUCACCAAGGCAACGAUGCCUAGGGGGUGUUAGCGCAUGACCCCCACGACUGGGACUGAGAUACUGCCCAGACACCUACGGGUGGCUGCAGUCGAGAAUCUUCGGCAAUGGGCGCAAGCCUGACCGAGCGACGCCGCGUGCGGGAUGAAGGCCCUUGGGUUGUAAACCGCUGUCAGAGGGGAUGAAGUGCCGGCAGGCAAUCCUGUCGGUUUGACAUAGCCUCAGAGGAAGCACGGGCUAAGUUCGUGCCAGCAGCCGCGGUAAUACGAACUGUGCGAACGUUAUUCGGAAUCACUGGGCUUAAAGGGUGCGUAGGCGGCUAUUUAAGUAGGGUGUGAAAGCCCCCGGCUCAACCGGGGAAUUGCGUCCUAAACUGGAUAGCUGGAGUGGGAUAGAGGUGUGUGGAACUUCCGGUGGAGCGGUGAAAUGUGUUGAUAUCGGAAGGAACGCCGGUGGCGAAAGCGACACACUGGGUCUCAACUGACGCUGAGGCACGAAAGCCAGGGGAGCGAAC
rnacentral:rRNA from 1 species